GUGGGCGUAGCUCAGUUGGUAGAGCUCAGGAUUGUGGUUCCUGUGGUCGUGGGUUCGAUCCCCAUCGCUCACCCCA
rnacentral:tRNA from 1 species